UCUCAAUGAUGAAAAUAAAUUGGUCCGUGUUUAUGAGGCGGCUUAAGACACUGCUGAAUGACUACUUCCUACGCGAAUUUUCGCAUUUCUGAUUGA
rnacentral:snoRNA from 1 species